rnacentral:rRNA from 1 species
GUGGCGGACGGGUGAGUAACACGUGGGUAACCUGCCCUUAAGUGGGGGAUAACAUUUGGAAACAGAUGCUAAUACCGCAUAGAUCCAAGAACCGCAUGGUUCUUGGCUGAAAGAUGGCGUAAGCUAUCGCUUUUGGAUGGACCCGCGGCGUAUUAGCUAGUUGGUGAGGUAAUGGCUCACCAAGGCGAUGAUACGUAGCCGAACUGAGAGGUUGAUCGGCCACAUUGGGACUGAGACACGGCCCAAACUCCUACGGGAGGCAGCAGUAGGGAAUCUUCCACAAUGGACGCAAGUCUGAUGGAGCAACGCCGCGUGAGUGAAGAAGGCUUUCGGGUCGUAAAACUCUGUUGUUGGAGAAGAAUGGUCGGCAGAGUAACUGUUGUCGGCGUGACGGUAUCCAACCAGAAAGCCACGGCUAACUACGUGCCAGCAGCCGCGGUAAUACGUAGGUGGCAAGCGUUAUCCGGAUUUAUUGGGCGUAAAGCGAGCGCAGGCGGUUUUUUAAGUCUGAUGUGAAAGCCCUCGGCUUAACCGAGGAAGCGCAUCGGAAACUGGGAAACUUGAGUGCAGAAGAGGACAGUGGAACUCCAUGUGUAGCGGUGAAAUGCGUAGAUAUAUGGAAGAACACCAGUGGCGAAGGCGGCUGUCUGGUCUGUAACUGACGCUGAGGCUCGAAAGCAUGGGUAGCGAACAGGAUUAGAUACCCUGGUAGUCCAUGCCGUAAA